AGUGAACGCUGGCGGUAGACCUAACACAUGCAAGUCGAACGGCAGCACAGUAAGAGCUUGCUCUUACGGGUGGCGAGUGGCGGACGGGUGAGGAAUACAUCGGAAUCUACUUUUUCGUGGGGGAUAACGUAGGGAAACUUACGCUAAUACCGCAUACGACCUACGGGUGAAAGCAGGGGAUCUUCGGACCUUGCGCGAUUGAAUGAGCCGAUGUCGGAUUAGCUAGUUGGCGGGGUAAGGGCCCACCAAGGCGACGAUCCGUAGCUGGUCUGAGAGGAUGAUCAGCCACACUGGAACUGAGACACGGUCCAGACUCCUACGGGAGGCAGCAGUGGGGAAUAUUGGACAAUGGGCGCAAGCCUGAUCCAGCCAUACCGCGUGGGUGAAGAAGGCCUUCGGGUUGUAAAGCCCUUUUGUUGGGAAAGAAAAGCAGCAGGUUAAUACCCCGCUGUUCUGACGGUACCCAAAGAAUAAGCACCGGCUAACUUCGUG
rnacentral:rRNA from 1 species